UACGUAGGGGGCAAGCGUUGUCCGGAUUUAUUGGGCGUAAAGAGCGCGCAGGCGGUCGUUCAAGUCGAGUGUGAAAGCCCCCGGCUCAACUGGGGAGGGUCACGCGAUACUGAUCGACUGGAAGGCAGGAGAGGGUAGUGGAAUUCCCGGUGUAGUGGUGAAAUGCGUAGAUAUCGGGAGGAACACCAGUGGCGAAGGCGACUACCUGGCCUGUUCUUGACGCUGAGGCGCGAAAGCUAGGGGAGCAAACGGG
rnacentral:rRNA from 1 species